UUAGUAGCUUAUUAAUAUAUCCGAAAGGCCCGCUGAUUAGACACCCGAGUUAGCAACAGAUCAUACAAGUCAUGCAGUACUUUCAGUCCCCGUAAUUGAGUCAAAAUACCUAGUUUGUUAGGAGGGACGGGCCCUCUUUUACCCAUGGCCUCAUUUCGUAUCACAUCAUAGCAAACAGUUUAUGCCAAGAACCAAAAUAGCUGUUUUGUUUCAAAUUUGUCUUGAGUCCUCACUAGUUGUAGAUGGUGAAAUAGGCAAGUUUCAAGACCAUCUUAAGUGCAUAGGAUCCUGAGGAGGGCUUGUACAUUUCAGAGCCUGUUGCCAGUCAAAUAAUACAAUCAUAUAUUUGGAUCUGGUGAGACUGGGCAUGAUUCAGAAAAGCUGGAAGAUCUAGAGAGGGAUCUUGCAAUCUGAAGUUUGUUUAGUCACUGGAGGAUUUGAACGUCUAUGACACUCUUCCGAGCUGACACAGUGAAGAACAUGGAAGGAGAACUCACCCAGUCUGCCAGGGUCACAGAUGAUCAUACUCAAGAUCUUCCUGGGGAGUCAACGGCAAAUUUCACUGGGCUACUUUACAGAUGAAGAAGGAAUAUAAAGAAGGUUCUGG
rnacentral:sRNA from 1 species